GACCGUGUGGACUAAUGGCUAAGGCAUCUGACUUUGCAUAAGAAGAUUGCAGGUUCAGAUCCUAUCAUGGUGA
rnacentral:tRNA from 1 species